AUAACAUCCGGAAACGGGUGCUAAUACCCGCAUAGUUUUCUUGAUCGCAUGAUUGAGAAAGGAAAGACGGCCUUUGUGCUGUCGCUUAUGGAUGGACCCGCGGCGUAUUAGUUAGUUGGUGAGGUAACGGCUCACCAAGACGAUGAUACGUAGCCGACCUGAGAGGGUGAUCGGCCACAUUGGGACUGAGACACGGCCCAAACUCCUACGGGAGGCAGCAGUAGGGAAUCUUCCGCAAUGGACGAAAGUCUGACGGAGCAACGCUGCGUGAGUGAAAAGGUAAGGUUUUCGGAUACGUAAAACUCUGUUGUCAGAGAAGAACAAGUUGGAGAGUAACUGCUCCAGCCUUGACGGUAUCUGACCAAGAAAGCCACGGCUAACUACGUGCCAGCCGCCGC
rnacentral:rRNA from 1 species